UUUUGUUGAAGAGCCAUCUUCUAUUCCUUACAGUGAAAUUUGUCUCAAGUUGCAGAAUUCUAAAGCUUCGUUCAUUACUGUAGAAUUUGUGUCAAUGUGGAGAUUUGUAAAUAAGUAAACCAAAUUCAUCUAGUAUUUGAGUAUUGUUUGAAAAAGGAGUUAAGGAAGUCAAUAAAUGGAUGCAAUUAUGUUGCGGUUGAGAUUGGAAGCUCAAGAGCCCAAUCUUGGUCCCUAGACGCCAAUUAGGUGUGAAAAUUGGAUUUGAAAUAGAGAUUUAAUGCUUG
rnacentral:lncRNA from 1 species